rnacentral:rRNA from 1 species
CUGAACCAGCCAAGUAGCGUGAAGGAUGACUGCCCUAUGGGUUGUAAACUUCUUUUAUACGGGAAUAAAGUGAGGCACGUGUGCCUUUUUGUAUGUACCGUAUGAAUAAGGAUCGGCUAACUCCGUGCCAGCAGCCGCGGUAAUACGGAGGAUCCGAGCGUUAUCCGGAUUUAUUGGGUUUAAAGGGAGCGUAGAUGGGUUGUUAAGUCAGUUGUGAAAGUUUGCGG